rnacentral:misc_RNA from 1 species
UCCCGGUUAACCCGGGCAGUCUCAUUAGAGUUCCCACCUAAAAUGUUGGCAACUAAUGAUAAGGGUUGCGCUCGUUGCGGGACUUAACCCAACACCUCACGGCACGAGCUGACGACAGCCAUGCAGCACCUGUGCAGAAGCCCCGAAGGGAGAGUACGUUUCUGUACCUGUCUUCUGCAUGUCAAGCCUGGGUAAGGUUCUUCGCGUUGCAUCGAAUUAAACCACAUGCUCCACUGCUUGUGCGGGUCCCCGUCAAUUCUUUUGAGUUUCAGCCUUGCGACUGUACUCCCCAGGCGGUAUACUUAACGCGUUCGCUUCGGCACAGCCAGGGUUGAUUCCGGCUACACCUAGUAUACAUCGUUUACGGCAAGGACUAC